rnacentral:rRNA from 1 species
UCCGUAGGCGGGUAAUUAAGUCAGAGGUGAAAUCCCACAGCUCAACUGUGGAACUGCCUUAGAUACUGGUUAUCUUGAGUUUUAGUGAAGUAGAUAGAAUGUGUAGUGUAGCGGUGAAAUGCAUAGAUAUUACACAGAAUACCGAUUGCGAAGGCAGUCUACUAACUAACAACUGAUGCUAAUGGACGAAAGCGUGGGGAGCGAACAGGAUUAGAUACCCUGGUAGUCC